UAGUGGUUAUAUCAAUGGUUUUAUAACUUCAAAGGAGGCAUGAUCAAAUCAUGGGACUCAAGUUAUACACAAACCCUGAUUCGUCCAUCUAUUCACAUAUAUCUGAAACUGCAGCCCAGCUCAAUCUCUUGAUUAGAUUAUGUAUUUUCUUUGGUUCCUAAGAUCUUUGUAUGUCUCUUCUAUCUCAUGUUAUAGACUUUUGAAUGCAAUAGAAUCUAAAAAUAUGUGAACGUCUUUUCAGUCUAACUCUAAAGAUCUUUGUGCUUAAUGGAAUCCUGCAUUCUAUCUAAGAAGCUGUUGCAAGUGUAUAAUGACACUUCGGGGUACAUUUGAACUUCGGUCCAGAUGAUUCAGGCUUACUCUCGAGAUUCUCCCUGCUGACCUGAUGAAGUAAGCAGCCUUGUCGGGAAAGCCUACAUGGCAAGGAACUGCAAAUGGCCUCUAGGAACUGUGAGUGGCCUUUAGGAGCUGAAGUUGGCCUCCAAUCAGCAAGAAGCCAGGGCACUUAGUCCUACUGCAGCAAGGAAAUACAUUCUGCCAACCAUCUGAAUGAGCUUGGAAGUGGAUUCUUCCCAAGCCAAGCCUCCAUAUAAGAAUGCAGCCCACCUGACACAUUCAUAACAGCUGAGCAGAGGACCCAAUUAAACCGUGCCUGGACUCUUCAUCCACAGAAACUUCGAGAUAAUCAAUGCAUGUUGCGUUAAGCCAUGACGUUUGUGAUAAUUCGUUAUGCAGCA
rnacentral:lncRNA from 1 species